GCAAGUCGAGGGGUAACGGAAGUAGCUUGCUACUAGACGACGACCGGCGCACGGGUGAGUAACGCGUAUGUAAUCUGCCUUGUACAGAGGGAUAGCCCAGAGAAAUUUGGAUUAAUACCUCAUAGUAUUACUGGAUCGCAUGAUUUGGUAAUUAAAGCUCCGGCGGUACAAGAUGAACAUGCGUGACAUUAGCUAGUUGGUAAGGUAACGGCUUACCAAGGCUACGAUGUCUAGGGGUUCUGAGAGGAUGAUCCCCCACACUGGUACUGAGACACGGACCAGACUCCUACGGGAGGCAGCAGUGAGGAAUAUUGGUCAAUGGACGCAAGUCUGAACCAGCCAUCCCGCGUGAAGGAUGAUUGCCCUAUGGGUUGUAAACUUCUUUUAUAUGCAAAUAAACCUACUUUCGUGAAAGUAGCUGAAGGUAGCAUAUGAAUAAACACCGGCUAACUCCGUGCCAGCAGCCGCGGUAAUACGGAGGGUGUAAGCGUUAUCCGGAUUUAUUGGGUUUAAAGGGUACGUANGCGGUAAUAUA
rnacentral:rRNA from 1 species